GACGAACGCUGGCGGCGUGCUUAACACAUGCAAGUCGAACGAAGUGGCGAACGGGUGAGUAACGCGUAAUCAACCUGCCCUUCAGAGGGGGACAACAGUUGGAAACGACUGCUAAUACCGCAUACUGAAGGAGGGGAUUGCGUCUGAUUAGCGCGUUGGAGGGGUAACGGCCCACCAAGGCGAUGAUCAGUAGGCGGGCUGGGGGGAUGGACGGCCACAUUGGGACUGAGACACGGCCCAGACUCCUACGGGGGGCAGCAGUGGGGAAUCUUCCGCAAUGGACGGAAGUCUGGAUGAGCAACGCCGCGGGAGUGAUGACGGGCUUCGGGUUGUAAAGCUCUUUUAAUCGGGACGCGGUACCGGAAUAGAAAGCCACGGCUAACUACGUGCCAGCAGCCGCGGUAAUAC
rnacentral:rRNA from 1 species